rnacentral:rRNA from 1 species
UGGGGAAUAUUGCACAAUGGGCGCAAGCCUGAUGCAGCCAUGCCGCGUGUAUGAAGAAGGCCUUCGGGUUGUAAAGUACUUUCAGUCGGGAGGAAGGUGGUAAGGUUAAUAACCUUAUCAAUUGACGUUACCGACAGAAGAAGCACCGGCUAACUCCGUGCCAGCAGCCGCGGUAAUACGGAGGGUGCAAGCGUUAAUCGGAAUUACUGGGCGUAAAGCGCACGCAGGCGGUUGAUUGAGUCAGAUGUGAAAUCCCCGGGCUUAACCCGGGAAUUGCAUCUGAUACUGGUCAGCUAGAGUCUUGUAGAGGGGGGUAGAAUUCCAUGGGUAGCGGUGAAAGGCGUAGAGAUGUGGAGGAAUACCUGUGGCGAAGGCGGCCCCCUGGAAAAGACUGACGCUCAGGUGCGAAAGCGUGGGGAGCAAACAGG